rnacentral:rRNA from 1 species
AGCGAACGCUGGCGGCAGGCCUAACACAUGCAAGUCGAACGAACCUUUCGGGGUUAGUGGCGGACGGGUGAGUAACACGUGGGAACGUGCCUUUAGGUUCGGAAUAACUCAGGGAAACUUGUGCUAAUACCGAAUGUGCCCUUCGGGGGAAAGAUUAAUCGCCUUUAGAGCGGCCCGCGUCUGAUUAGCUAGUUGGUUGAGGUAAUGGCUCACCAAGGCGACGAUCAGUAGCUGGUCUGAGAGGAUGAUCAGCCACAUUGGGACUGAGACACGGCCCAAACUCCUACGGGAGGCAGCAGAGGGGAAUCUUGCGCAAUGGGCGAAAGCCUGACGCAGCCAUGCCGCGUGAAUGAUGAAGGUCUUAGGAUUGUAAAAUUCUUUCACCGGGGACGAUAAUGACGGUACCCGGAGAAGAAGCCCCGGCUAACUUCGUG